UUUUUAACUUUAUUUAGGAUUGCCAGAUGCCCCGUAUUUUACGGGCUACCCUGUAUUUCAGGGUAUGAUAAUACAGAUAUCCGUAAUUGCGAAAAUGAAAUACGGGGUAAAUGAG